rnacentral:miRNA from 1 species
ACAUCACAAGUUCUACAGUCAGACUACCUGAGUGCAAACUCAGACCUUUCAUUGGUGGCUGUGUGGCCUUGGGCAAGUUACUU